AUUGAACGCUGGCGGCUUGCCUUACACAUGCAAGUCGAACGGCAGCAUAGGAGCUUGCUCCUGAUGGCGAGUGGCGAACGGGUGAGUAAUAUAUCGGAACGUGCCCUAGAGUGGGGGAUAACUAGUCGAAAGACUAGCUAAUACCGCAUACGAUCUACGGAUGAAAGUGGGGGAUCGCAAGACCUCAUGCUCCUGGAGCGGCCGAUAUCUGAUUAGCUAGUUGGGGGGGUAAAAGCCUACCAAGGCGACGAUCAGUAGCUGGUCUGAGAGGACGACCAGCCACACUGGGACUGAGACACGGCCCAGACUCCUACGGGAGGCAGCAGUGGGGAAUUUUGGACAAUGGGGGCAACCCUGAUCCAGCAAUGCCGCGUGAGUGAAGAAGGCCUUCGGGUUGUAAAGCUCUUUUGUCAGGGAAGAAACGGUAGUAGCUAAUAUCUAUUACUAAUGACGGUACCUGAAGAAUAAGCACCGGCUAACUACGUGCCAGCCGCCGCCGUAA
rnacentral:rRNA from 1 species